rnacentral:lncRNA from 1 species
GUCCCUCCCACCGGCGGCGGCGGCGGCGGCGGCAGGUACAGUGAGCCCAGCCGGUACCUCCGGAGUUAACUCCUCCCCUGCCGGCCCGCAGCCCGGGGACCUAGGACGCCGGCUCUCCAGCCAGGAGAGGACGGCACGCGGGGGCGGAGUAGCUCUUGGAGAGGAAGGGAGAGGGUGGUGGCCAGGGGAUACGGACCCUACCGUUUCCACCUCUUUUGCAGGGCGCCCGUUCCCCGGGAGCGGGCAGCAAGAAUCGGCUGCCCUGCCCCCAACUCAGGAGUCCUGGAAUUAAGAAAGAUCCUUUUUUUAAAAAACCCAUUCUAAGAGCCAAAACCUGUGCUGAGGGAAGUCCUUCUGGGUGUCUAGCCUGCACUCCUUUUGUUAUGAUGUCUGCUCCUUCCCUCUUCUACUUUACUUGGAGGGGCUGAGAUAAUCCCUGGACCUUCUCGGUCCAGCCACUGUGACAGGAAGUAUUUGGCUGGGCCCCUGGGCUGAAAAGGCUGUUAGGGGCCAGGCUAGAUUCUGGGGCCGGGGGCAGGUCCUGAGAAGCUGGAGAGUGAGGGGAGCAAGGCCUUCCUGGAGCCUGUCCCUUCAUUAUUCACUACUUACCCUCUCUAUGCCACAGGGGUCACCAGGCCGAGAGUGGCUCCUGUCCCAGUGGGGUCUCUGCAAACCUCCAGGGCAAGGAGGAAGAACACGACCCUGAUCUGAGAUUCCCAAAGAUGGGGGCCCAUCCUCCAUCACCCCCACUCCAUAUCUUCAGGUCUCCCUCCUGGAAUUCCAGGGUCCCUUUAGUCUGUAGAAAAAUGAAAGGUCAAGUCCUGGCAUCCCUUGGAGGCUAUGAAGGUGAGGAGGCACCCCAUCAUUUGAAGUGGUCCCAGCUUGGGCUGGGCCCAAGGAGCACGGUGGGUGGGCACUCUGCUCUGUGGCCCUCCAAGGCCCAGCUUGGUCCCGUGGCUGCAACCCCGGCACGCACCCAGCCUCCUCCCCCACCAUCUGCCAGGCGGGUGCGCGGGGAAUGCAGAUGAAUCUUAAUAUCAGCCUGGGCCAAGUGCGAUGAGGGAGACAGAUUCUGCAAAACCCAGACAGCAUCACAGAGCCCCCUGCAUUUCCAGGCACCCUGGGCCAUACCAAGAUGCAACAGCUCUUUCUUGGUGUUGGUGGGGGGUGGGGUGGGUGGUGGCGUGCAUGUCUAGUCAAAGACCCCCCCAAAGCCGGGGAGGCAGGAACAGGCAAAUCUUUGUUUGGCCUCUAAGCCUCUGGUCUGGCUGGGAGGGAGAAGCUGUUGGCCUGAGUGUGGGCAGCUGGUUCCGGCGCUCAGCUAGGCAGGGGCGUAGCUGGGCCCACUCCUUGUCUGGUUUCCAGAAGGUCCUGUCCCUAGGAGAGCUGUGUGGCCCAGCAGAAAGAGCACAGGUUUUCAGGCCAGACAGUCCCAGAUUCUGUUCCAGACCUGGCUGUGUGACCUUGGGCAGGUUACUUUGGUUCUCUGAUGUCCGUUUCCUGAUCUGUUCUUGCAAGAACCAAAUGAGACAAAAUGUGCAAACAAAGCGCAGGCACAAUGGCUGGUGGGCAGUCGUAGGAGUGCAGUAAACGGAAGUUCUCGCUCCUCCACUUCCCACACAUUUGCUCCGGCUGCUCCUCCUGCCAGGCUUGCCCUUACUCCCCUCUUGGUCAUUUCUGGCUCUCACUUUGUUCAAGUUUCCCCUCCGCAUUUAUCCAUCACCCACUGGCCGAGCCUGUCCGCCGUGCCAGGCGCCAGGCCAGGGGUUGAGAUAGAGAUGAAUGGGACACCCUCCCUGCCCUCAAGGAUCUCAUCGGCAAGUGUGGAACAGAGACAUGAAAAUCGAUAAUUGUAACUCAGUAUGGCCCCCUCCUGGGUGUGGAUAAUUUGGAAUCAGUUAAAAGGGAGUCUUGAUGCGUGGAUUUGGGUCCCCAAACUGCCACCUCCUUUGGCUCUUUCCUGACCCUGAAGAGAACCUGACCCGGAUGUACCAAGACCUUGCCGGAAGCCUCUAGCCAGAGCAGCUGGCCCUGGACUCCCACUGGGACACUGACUGGGAGAUUCUUAGAGCACUGAACGAUUGGCCCUCCACCUUCCCAGCGGCUCUUUGGGAAAAGAUGCCCAUUGCAUGAAGCGGGGCCUCUCAAGGAGGAGCCCCAGGUCACCUGUUGCAACAGAAUCGCCUGGGAGCUCCAAGGCCCAGCCCCAACCCAUACCCAAUGAGUCUGAAUCUCCAGGAGGUGCCCAGACAUCUGCACAUCCAGCAGGUUCCCAGCUUCACAUUGUAAGGCUCCACCUCUUUCCACCCCCAGGAUCUUCAGGGGCACAGUAAAGUGUCCACCAUGAGCUGCCUUCACCCCAGCCCUUGGGACCAUGUGGGGACCGGGUGGGAACUCUGGGCUCCUGUGACACUCAGACCAAGCCCCUCACAUUGCAGGGGCCCUGCUCAGCAUCCUGGAGGGGAGCAACCCUUCUGGGACCAGGAAAACCCAAUUUUGUCCUCCAUUUCUGUUCCUCCUGGGGGCUGUGAACCUCAGGCAGGGUCCCUCGGUCUGGGUCCCGUAUGAACUCCUCUUCACCUUUCUGGCCAGGUUAUCAGAAUGGGCAGGGUUGUAAGUGGUUCAGAGUUUGAGCUCUGGGGUCAGGCGGAGCCGAGUUCAGCCUUGGCACAUUCCCCUGCACCAGCCCGUGCCCUGGGGUGAACCCCUGGGCUCCCUUGGCCUCUUCUCAGCUCCUCACUGUGUCCCACCCCUCUGCCAUCUCCUCUUCUCCCCUCCAGCUAUGGGACGAUCUGUCCCGAGUUCACUUUCUUCUUUUCUAUUUCCUACUCCCAUGUCCCCAAACACAUCCCGCCCUACAGUUCCCCACCUCCAGGCCCUGCACGGGCCCUUUGCUCUGUUUGGCAUGCUCCUGCCCUCCUGCAUCCUGGCAGUCUAAACUUUAAGUGAGACCUGCAUGGAGCAGGGAGACUGGCCAGAAGUCUUAAUUAACUUCAAAAUUUAAAGCUGGAAGAGAGGGAUAUGAUUUGGCUCUGUGUCCCCACCCAAAUCUGAUGUCGAAUUGUAAUUCCCAAUGUUGGGGGAGGGACCUGGUGGGAGGUGAUUGGAUCGUGGGGGCAGAUUCCCCCCCUUCGUGUUCUUGUGAUAGUGAGUGAGUUCUCAUGAGAUCUGUUUGCUUAAAAGUGUGUAGCAUCUCCCCCUUUGCUCUCUCUCUCCUGCUGCUAUGUGAAGAUGUGGUUGCUUCCCCUUCACCUACCACCAUGGUUAUGUUUCCUGAGGCCUCCCAGCCAUGCUUCCUGCAUAGCCUGUGGAACUGUGAGUCAAUUAAAUCUGUUUUCUUCAUAAAUUACCCAGCCUCAGGUAGUUCUUUAUGGUAGUGUGAGAACAGACUAACACAGAGAGUUUUAAAUUCUUUAGUUGUAGGCCUUUGCCCAGGAUGGAGUAGCAGGGACUGUAUUUCCUUCCCCUUCAAAACUUUCAGACAGCUGGAGAGGAUAUAUGGAACAUCAGUUUCAAGGUACUGGACAUCAGGCAAUGAAGGAAAGAAAUU